UUUGUGGGAAGUAUGAAGGAGCUGCUGGUUACAUCAGCACAAGGCAGCUUAUGUAUGAGAAAGGUUGCACAACACAUUGGGAAAAAGACAUAGGACAGACCAUGACAUCAAGGGCAAAGACCCUGAUAGACCUUUGAACAUCUGACCAUCUUGUAAACCUCACAUCUGCUCCAGUGAGCCCAGCUUUCUGCUUACAACGCCAUAGACCCUUUUAUACGUGUUUUUGCAAAGUUACUGAUAAACGCUGACAAGAUAAACCACCGAGCGGCUACAGGCAAGGAUAAAAGAAAGCUGAAAGAAGGGAGGAAAAAGACCAGCAGAGGCUACAGCCACCAAACGGCCGUCGGGGCUGGGGCAUCUCCCCGCGACCUCCCCUGGCGGUGCCGUCCUCCGAGAGUGCCACCCGGCCGGUCUCACCUCUCCGAAGCUGUGCGCCCCCCGGCGGUCCCGCCGCCUGCCCCGGGUCGCCGCUGUCCGCCUCUCGUGUUCGCGCUCCGUGUGAAAGCGAGGCGGUCGGAUUUCCGCUGGUUUGCUGUCUGUUUCUCCGCAGCCGCCUGUUCCCAAGCACUAUUGUCUCAUCACGAACGAGCUCGCCCUCCCCAGCCUCUGUGUUAGAGUGAGUGCAGGAAAGGCCCUGCCUUAUGGUUUGUAAAGAUAACUUAUAUCAGUGCUGUCAAGUCACUUACUGUAUUAAUUACCUCUGACCUGACUGCACUCUGCAGCACUUCUACAAUGUUGCAUUUUCCUAACAACUGCUCAUGCUAGAUGAGUCCAAAGCUCAGAUGAGCAGAAGCAUGUCUAUGGCUACCCAAUAAAUACCAGCAAUAAAAAUUUCAAAGGUUCACCUAUCCCCGCCCUGAUGCCUGCCUGUACCCAGACAUGCCAAUGCAGUGGGCAGAACAGAUACCUGUACCUUGUGCAGCUGCUGGCAGGAGUCAAGAGCCAGGAAGGUUUGUGAGGAUACUGAAACAGGUGUAGCAAAGGGUACUGAAAGAGGUGUGACAAGAGCCAUGGGUACGGUCACAGUGCAGGCAUGCUGAAUAAGGAUGUUAUUUUCAGUUGCUCUGUGGGGCAGAAGUGGACUUGAGUUUGUUUUCUUUGCAUUUUAAGUUCCCCCUUCAAGGAAAAUCUGCCUACGUGGAAAACUUUUGCCCUAUUACUUCACCAGACAUGCACAUUUCUCUGUGUCCAAGCGUAUUUCAAUCCUAAACACCAUGGAGCCUACACUGUGCUGCAGUGGCAACCCUUCAUCAUGUGCCUGGCACAGUGAAAAAAAAAGACAGUGUGCUUGGAAGCAGAGGUGAGUUGCUGUGAUCAGGAACUUCUCCACGUGGUGCCUGCACACAUCCUGACAGAAUAGAAAUGGAGACCCAAGGAAUGGAAAGGAACCAGAUCUGACAACUUAAGCAUCCUGAUGGAGGCCCUGGCUUUCCCCCAUCCCAUUCCUGAAGCAACAAUCUUUUGGACUUCCUCUGGUCUUCUGGGCUUUUGAUCUUCAGAAUUCAUCUCCUUCCCAGCUGGUAAGUCUGGGAAGAAGGGCAAGUGCUCUUCCUUGCUCUGGGCACAUGAUGUGCCACCACUGCCCUCUUACUUCUGACCGCAGCAGGAAAAUUGCAAAUGAAGCUAGCAGCAGCAAAGAAAUAGGAAGGAAGUAUUUUCUAACUGUAUCAUUUUACUGACAUAAUUGAUUUAAAUCAUGCUGUUGCUGAGGCAGAUUUCUGCCCAUACAGGAACAAAAACCAGUGGCCAGGGCUGUGGCAUGAGACACAGCAAGCCUAAGGAGAGCCCCAUGUCAAACACUGCAUUUUUCUGUCAUACCGGUACCGAGGCCUCAACAUCCUCUGAAUAAAGAAUUUCUUCCUAACAUCUAAUCUAAAUCUCCCCUCUUCUAGUUAAAAGCCAUUCCCCUUGUCCUAUCACUAUCUAAACCAUGUAAAACGUCAAUCCACCUCCUGCUUGUAAGCUCCCCUCAGGUACUGGAAGGCCACAAUGAGGUCUCUCCAGAUCCUUCUUCAAGUUAAACAAGCCCAACUCCCUGAAGUUUUCUUCAUAUGGGAGGUGCUCCAGCCCUCUGAUCAUCUUUGUGACCCUCCUCUGGACUCACUCCAACAGCUCCGAAUCAUUCUCAGUUAAGGCUAAUUUGAACACUGCUCCUUUCUUACAGAAUCUGGUCAUGCCAGACAUCUUGCAUGUCCCACAGCACACAGUGUGGAGAAGUUACUAAGUACCAUGAGUUCCUCUAUCUUCUGAAGGUUCUGGCCUCUUCUCUCCUUUUCGCAACCUGAGUAACAGGAUUGCAAAAACAUCAAUUUGCAGGGGGUGCUGGGUGUUCCCUGGAGUCCAGCUUUCCAUUUGGGCCAGGUCUUGCCACCACACAGUCAACACAGACGUGGCUCUGUCUAGCUGAAUCACCAGUCAGAAUUUUUUCAGCUGUGUUUCUCUAUUACUUUCCUUAGGAUGCUGUUUUCCUUGCCCGAGGAUCCAGGUUGUUUUAAUCCUGCCUAAUGUCAAAUUUCAUAAAGCUUUUAAAACAUUUCAGGGACUUGAGCCAGUGAGAGUGGAUGAGAAACACGUGCAGGAGGAACUGCAUGCUCAUUAUUAUUUUGUUCUCUACUGAAUGAAGCAAGAUGCAGAUCCUGAAGCUCACAGUGCAAAAGCAGCUUUGAGAACAAUAGAGACAGCAACAUUAGUCAUUGUGCAUGUGAGUGAGGAGCUCUUCCUAGCUCUUCUUUUCCAAAAGGAGAUACCAAUAAGCCAUUUUAAAAAACA